CCUACGGGUGGCAGCAGUGAGGAAUAUUGGUCAAUGGCCGAGAGCCUGAACCAGCCAAGUCGCGUGCAGGAUGACGGCCCUACGGGUUGUAAACUUCUUUUGUCAGGGAGCAAUUGAGUCCACGUGUGUUCUUAGCAAGAGUACCUGAAGUAAACGCAUCGGCUAACGCCUUGCCAGCAGCCGAGGUAAUACGGAGGAUGCGAGCGUUAUCCGGAUUUCUUGGGUUUAAAGGGUGCGUAGGCGGAAUAUCAAGUCAGCGGUAAAAAUGCGGGGCUCAACCCCGUCUGGCCGUUGAAACUGAUGUUCUUGAGUGGGCGAGAAGUAUGCGGAAUGCGUGGUGUAGCGGUGAAAUGCAUAGAUAUCACGCAGAACUCCGAUUGCGAAGGCAGCAUACCGGCGCCCAACUGACGCUGAAGCACGAAAGCGUGGGUAUCGAACAGGAUUAGAUACCCCUGUAGUC
rnacentral:rRNA from 1 species